rnacentral:ncRNA from 2 species
AAUUCGCACUUGUUGUUAGGUGCCAAGUUUGUUUUCUACAAACAAGGUGAAACUGGGAAAUAGGUGCAUUAUCGCUUAAGGCGUUAAUAAUUCCUUCGCUGCCCCCGCAACGGUAAGUAAGUUUUUGAUUUAUUCAAAUGAUUCUGCAAUAUGCCACUGAGUUAACCCUUAGAAAAAGGUCAGACUUGGGAAGGCGCAAAUCAGUUGGUUAAAAGAACUAAAUAUUAGUUUUCAAUACCAGCGCUUAUAAGCCCGGAGACCGGCCUAAAAACUACGCCUUAU